UACGUAGGGCGCAAGCGUUGUCCGGAAUUAUUGGGCGUAAAGAGCUCGUAGGCGGUCUGUCGCGUCUGCUGUGAAAACUCAGGGCUUAACCCUGAGCUUGCAGUCGAUACGGGCAGGCUAGAGUUCGGUAGGGGAGGACUGGAAUUCCUGGUGUAGCGGUGAAAUGCGCAGAUAUCAGGAGGAACACCGAUGGCGAAGGCAGGUCUCUGGGCCGAUACUGACGCUGAGGAGCGAAAGCGUGGGGAGCGAACAGG
rnacentral:rRNA from 1 species